rnacentral:lncRNA from 1 species
CUUAGGAUUCUUUCUCUCCCUAACCCUCUGUCCCUGCAUAUCCAUCUCUCUAAAUACAAAAGAAGAAAGGAAAUGUAGAUCAUCUUGGAGGAUAGAGAUUCUUUUUCACUGUUUUCUAUGUACACGACAAACUAACUGAAGCANGAAGGAAAUGUAGAUCAUCUUGGAUAGAGAUUCUUUUUCACUGUUUUCUAUGUACACGACAAACUAACUGAAGCAUCCUUCCAAGCUUGAGAUCCUCCCUAGUUUUUCAUAAGACUUAGGGUGACCUUGAGGUGGAACAGUAUUUAGGAGCAAUAACUAGUUAAAUCCUAUUUUUGAUGCCUGAAAGAACCAUGCAGCUCCUUACAUAAUAGUCAGGAACUAAAUGAGACCCCAAGAUUAUGUAGGGAAGCAAGCUUUAUUUUAUGAUGAUCCAUUUUGGUUGCAUUGUGUUGCAUGAAGUCAUGGCUUUGGUUUAUGAUGCAGGGAAUGUUGACAAUAUGACAUAGACACGUUCUGAAAUUGGACUUGUGUCUUCUGGUAUAAAUGACCUUGCAGCACAUUGAUAGACUUUCUCCCCUCCUCUAAACCCGGGAGCACAGCAGUGUCCACUUGAAUGGCAAAUUGUGAUAAAGUAGCAGGAGCAAAAUUGCAUAGCAUAAUCACUGCAAUUUUUUAUUGAAUUGAGCCCUUUGCUCUUUCUCUUGACAGAACAGCUUAUUGAAUGUGUGUGUGGAAAACAAAGACAGUAAAGAAAAAUACCUUUCUCUUUUCUUUCAUUCUUUUUUUUCUUUCUUUCUUUCUUUUUUUUUUUUUUUUUCUUUUGCCUGAGAAUAGAAUAGAAAAUCUGUCUACUUCCAGAGUGCAUUUCUUAAGUGGGAGAACAUUUCAGCUUGCUUCCUUACAUCACUGAAGCAUGUUUCCUUUCCUGCAAGCUCAGUUCCAUUCUCAUCCUGGAAGGAUACAGUUGCUGCAAAUGUCCCUGCUGCUGCUGUUUGGGCACUGAUGGGCUCCUGCUGUUUUGGCAUAAAUGUUGCAUUUACACACUGAGAAUAGUUGGCAUUUGGGAGAACUGUUAUCAUGAAGACAAUGAAUUCAUGAACCAGAGUGUGUUUUUGUGUUUUAUAUUCUAUUUUUCAUUCAUUUACUGUCUAUUGCUUGGUGCCUCAAAUAAGCCUGACUUAUUUUCACACUUUUAUUUAUAGAGCAUAGUGCACUUUCAGGUAU